rnacentral:rRNA from 1 species
AUUGAACGCUGGCGGCAUGCCUUACACAUGCAAGUCGAACGGUAACAGGCCUUCGGAUGCUGACGAGUGGCGAACGGGUGAGUAAUACAUCGGAACGUGCCCGAUCGUGGGGGAUAACGAGGCGAAAGCUUUGCUAAUACCGCAUACGAUCUACGGAUGAAAGCGGGGGAUCUUCGGACCUCGCUCGGACGGAUCGGCCGAUGGCAGAUUAGGUAGUUGGUGGGUUAAAAGCUUACCAAGCCGACGAUCUGUAGCUGGUCUGAGAGGAUGAUCAGCCACACUGGGACUGAGACACGGACAAGACUCCUACGGGAGGCAGCAGUGGGGAAUUUUGGACAAUGGGCGAAAGCCUGAUCCAGCCAUGCCGCGUGCAGGAUGAAGGCCUUCGGGUUGUAAACUGCUUUUGUACGGAACGAAAAGACUCUUUCUAAUAAAGAGGGGUCAUGACGGUACCGUAAGAAUAAGCACCGGCUAACUACGUG